CAAAGUUUGGUGUUAAUCAAUUAAUUUGGCUUGUGAUCACAUUUUCUUCCUUGCACAGUCAGUCAUUGAACCCAGUUUGAUAAGUAGACUUGUUCCUAUUUGGCAUGAAAAGGGAAAAAUAAGGUAAUUUGAAAAGAAAAAUAAUACAGUAUAUAAAAUGGAGGUGAAUUGUGUCUAUACCAAGUGAUAACAUUUAUCAUUUUAAGAGUGGGGC
rnacentral:lncRNA from 1 species